AUAUAUAGGAGUGUUAGCUGUGAAGAUUCUCCACCCUAAGAAGAAAACUUUGUCUUCACAGCUACAGGACAAAAUAUUAAUCUUAAGUGGCAGCUUCUUCUGAGGAAGCCAAUAAAGAUUAGCAACAAAUGUCAUCAUAUUGACAUUAAUGGUUGUGCUAUGAAAAGCAAUGAUGAAUAUAUAAUACACUCCUGGAAAAUAAAUAUGAAGCAGAUUCACUGAUACGAAAUACUCAUGAUUUUGAUGUUAAAAUAAAGGACCCUAAAUGUUUAA